AGACCCGAAACCCGGUGAUCUAGCCAUGGGCAGGUUGAAGGUUGGGUAACACUAACUGGAGGACCGAACCGACUAAUGUUGAAAAAUUAGCGGAUGACCUGUGGCUGGGGGUGAAAGGCCAAUCAAACCGGGAGAUAGCUGGUUCUCCCCGAAAGCUAUUUAGGUAGCGCCUCGUGAAUUCAUCUCCGGGGGUAGAGCACUGUUUCGGCUAGGGGGCCAUCCCGGCUUACCAACCCGAUGCAAACUGCGAAUACCGGAGAAUGUUAUCACGGGAGACACACGGCGGGUGCUAACGUCCGUCGUGAAGAGGGAAACAACCCAGACCGCCAGCUAAGGUCCCAAAGUCAUGGUUAAGUGGGAAACGAUGUGGGAAGGCCCAGACAGCCAGGAUGUUGGCUUAGAAGCAGCCAUCAUUUAAAGAAAGCGUAAUAGCUCACUGGUCGAGUCGGCCUGCGCGGAAGAUGUAACGGGGCUAAACCAUGCACCGAAGCUGCGGCAGCGACACUGUGUGUUGUUGGGUAGGGGAGCGUUCUGUAAGCCUGUGAAGGUGUGUCGUGAGGCAUGCUGGAGGUAUCAGAAGUGCGAAUGCUGACAUAAGUAACGAUAAAGCGGGUGAAAAGCCCGCUCGCCGGAAGACCAAGGGUUCCUGUCCAACGUUAAUCGGGGCAGGGUGAGUCGACCCCUAAGGCGAGGCCGAAAGGCGUAGUCGAUGGGAAACGGGUUAAUAUUCCCGUACUUGGUGUUACUGCGAAGGGGGGACGGAGAAGGCUAUGUUGGCCGGGCGACGGUUGUCCCGGUUUAAGCGUGUAGGUGUGUGUUCCAGGUAAAUCCGGUUCACUUUAACACUGAGGCGUGACGACGAGGCACUACGGUGCUGAAGCAACAAAUGCCCUGCUUCCAGGAAAAGCCUCUAAGCAUCAGGUAACAUCAAAUCGUACCCCAAACCGACACAGGUGGUCAGGUAGAGAAUACCAAGGCGCUUGAGAGAACUCGGGUGAAGGAACUAGGCAAAAUGGUGCCGUAACUUCGGGAGAAGGCACGCUGACACGUAGGUGAAGUGAUUUACUCAUGGAGCUG
rnacentral:rRNA from 1 species